AGAGGGUGCGAGCGUUAAUCGGAAUUACUGGGCGUAAAGGGCUUGUAGGUGGAUUUGUAAGUUAGAUGUGAAAGGCCUGGGCUUAACCUUGGGACUGCAUUUAAAACUGUGGAUCUAGAGUACAGUAGAGGAAAGUGGAAUUUCCGGUGUAGCGGUGAAAUGCGUAGAUAUCGGAAGGAACACCAGUGGCGAAGGCGGCUUUCUGGACUGAUACUGACACUGAAGAGCGAAAGCGUGGGGAGCGAACAGGGAUUAGAUACCCUGGUAGUCCACGCUGUAAACGAUGAGAACUAGCCCGACUGGAGCUUCGGCUCUGGGUGGCGCAGCUAACGCGUUAAGUUCUCCGCCUGGGGAUACGGCCGCAAGGUUA
rnacentral:rRNA from 1 species